rnacentral:rRNA from 1 species
AGUGAACGCUGGCGGUAGGCCUAACACAUGCAAGUCGAACGGCAGCACAGUAAGAGCUUGCUCUUACGGGUGGCGAGUGGCGGACGGGUGAGGAAUACAUCGGAAUCUACUUUUUCGUGGGGGAUAACGUAGGGAAACUUACGCUAAUACCGCAUACGACCUACGGGUGAAAGCAGGGGAUCUUCGGACCUUGCGCGAUUGAAUGAGCCGAUGUCGGAUUAGCUAGUUGGCGGGGUAAAGGCCCACCAAGGCGACGAUCCGUAGCUGGUCUGAGAGGAUGAUCAGCCACACUGGAACUGAGACACGGUCCAGUCUCCUACGGGAGGCAGCAGUGGGGAAUAUUGGACAAUGGGCGCAAGCCUGAUCCAGCCAUACCGCGUGGGUGAAGAAGGCCUUCGGGUUGUAAAGCCCUUUUGUUGGGAAAGAAAAGCAGCAGGUUAAUACCCUGCUGUUCUGACGGUACCCAAAGAAUAAGCACCGGCUAACUUCGUG